UACGUAGGGUGCGAGCGUUAAUCGGAAUUACUGGGCGUAAAGCGUGCGCAGGCGGUUAUAUAAGACAGGUGUGAAAUCCCCGGGCUUAACCUGGGAAUUGCAUUUGUGACUGUAUAGCUGGAGUACGGCAGAGGGGGAUGGAAUUCCGCGUGUAGCAGUGAAAUGCAUAGAUAUGCGGAGGAACACCGAUGGCGAAGGCAAUCCCCUGGGCCUGUACUGACGCUCAUGCACGAAAGCGUGGGGAGCAAACAGG
rnacentral:rRNA from 1 species